AUUGAACGCUGGCGGAAUGCUUUACACAUGCAAGUCGAACGGCAGCACGGGGGCAACCCUGGUGGCGAGUGGCGAACGGGUGAGUAAUACAUCGGAACGUGCCCAGUCGUGGGGGAUAACGUAGCGAAAGUUACGCUAAUACCGCAUACGAUCUACGGAUGAAAGCGGGGGACCGUAAGGCCUCGCGCGAUUGGAGCGGCCGAUGUCAGAUUAGGUAGUUGGUGAGGUAAAGGCUCACCAAGCCGACGAUCUGUAGCUGGUCUGAGAGGACGACCAGCCACACUGGGACGGAGACCCGGCCCAGACUCCUCCGGGAGGCAGCAGUGGGGAAUUGUGGACAAUGGGCGCAAGCCUGAUCCAGCCAUUCCGCGUGCAGGACGAAGGCCUUCGGGUUGUAAACUGCUUUUGUACGGAACGAAAAGGCUCUGGUUAAUACCUGGGGCUCAUGACGGUACCGUAAGAAUAAGCACCGGCUAACUACGUGCCAGCCGCCGCCGUAA
rnacentral:rRNA from 1 species